UCCACGUUAAAGGGGAACCCUCCCCCGGGUGGAUUUCGAGGUGUUGGAAGCUUCUCUGACAAUGCCCGGGAGGAGGGCCAAGGCCCAGGGCUGCCCAGAGUAAGCCUGGCAGAAGAAAAAAGGAAAGCAAGUGAGAACCAUGUUAAUGAGACUGGUCGAAUGAACCUUGUUUCAGAGUCCAGACAUCACCAUGCUGCUUAAACACUCCAUUUCCCAGUGUCUGCUGCAAAGUUCCCCCUUCCAGGUUGGGGCAAGCAGACCUAUGGACCUCUACUAAAAGCAAUUCCUGCAAACCCAAGGAGACCCUGAGCUCUCCACAUCUCUCUGGAUAUUGACAUCCAGCUCAGGAGCUACCUUAAGGAUGAGAACUAGUUCAAGAGGUGGGUACAGGAAGGAGCUCAUGAAGGCAAAGUGCCUCAGGCAGGCAGAAGUCAUCCUGGAUCUGUGCUUGGAGCCCUGGCUUUUAUAGAUGCUGGGAAGUUUGGCAAGGCCUGCUAUGAAGCUAAGUUGGGAGAUAACAAAUGCCAAAGCGCUUUGGGACCUGGCUCUGCCAUGCAGAAGAGAGGGGCUGAUACUGCGAACAGCACCAUCAUCCACCUGCAUGGAGAAUACGAGCAGAUGUCCCUCUGCUGCCCCACCCACACCUAGCAAGAUGGCCCUGAAUACUCAGCACAGUCCUCUAGUGAGAUGCUCCGGACAGAGGCCAGGACAAGACAGGCCCAGGCUUGCCCUCAGGCCUCUCUGAUAACACUGCCCACUGCAGCACCAGCACCCCUGACCAGUGUCCCCAUCCUGGCCUCAGGCGUGGGAAGCUCAGCCUGUCAGUCUCUUGCCAGAAGCCCUCAAUUAUCUGUUCAGUUGCCUUCUUCGGGCCCAGGAAUGAUAAGCAAGGAUGGCUGCAACCGUCACCCACAGCUCCAGAUGCCUUGUCUACGGUUUUCGCCAACUCAGCCUCUACUCAGCAACUAAUGGUGCCUUUCAGAAAUAAAAGCAAGUUGCUCAAAACCUUUCAGUGGCUUCCCACUGUCCUUGGAUCAAGUCCCACCUCUGACAAGGCCUCGUCUUCCUCCAUG